AUACGAAGGGUGCAAGCGUUACUCGGAAUUACUGGGCGUAAAGCGUGCGUAGGUGGUUGUUUAAGUCUGUCGUGAAAGCCCUGGGCUCAACCUGGGAAUGGCGAUGGAAACUGGGCGACUAGAGUGUGGCAGAGGGUAGUGGAAUUCCUGGUGUAGCAGUGAAAUGCGUAGAGAUCAGGAGGAACAUCCGUGGCGAAGGCGACUGCCUGGGCCAACACUGACACUGAGGCACGAAAGCGUGGGGAGCAAACAGGAUUAGAUACCCUGGUAGUCCACGCCCUAAACGAUGCGAACUGGAUGUUGGGGGCAAUUUGGCACGCAGUAUCGAAGCUAACGCGUUAAGUUCGCCGCCUGGGGAGUACGGUCGCAAGACUGAAACUCAAAGGAAUUGACGGGG
rnacentral:rRNA from 1 species